CCUACGGGUGGCAGCAGUGGGGAAUAUUGCACAAUGGGGGCAACCCUGAUGCAGCGAUGCCGCGUGUGUGAGGAAGUAUUUCGGUAUGUAAAGCUCUUUCAGCAGGGAAGAAAACGACGGUACUUGUAUCAGUAGCCAUGGAUAAUUACGUGCCAGCAGCCGCGGUAUUACGUAGGGGGAAAGCGUUAUCCGGUUUUACUGGGUGUAAAGGGAGCGUAGACGGCUAAUCAAGUCAGAAGUGAAAGCCCAGGGCUCAACCUUGGAACUGCUUUUGAUACUGAGUAGCUAGAGUGCAGGAGAGGUAAGCGGAAUUCCUGGUGUAGCGGUGAAAUGCGUAGAGAUUAGGAGGAACACCAGUGGCGAAGGCGGCUUACUGGACUGUAACUGACGUUGAGGCUCGAAAGCGUGGGGAGCAAACAGGAUUAGAUACCCGGGUAGUC
rnacentral:rRNA from 1 species